rnacentral:rRNA from 1 species
GAUCCUGGCUCAGAAUCAACGCUGGAGGCGCGCUUAACACAUGCAAGUCGAGCGAGAAAGGGAGCAAUCCUGAGUAAAGCGGCGUACGGGUGAGUAACACGUGGGUCAUGUACCCUUUGGUGGGGAAUAACGUUGGGAAACCGACGCUAAUACCGCAUAAUCCCGAGAGGGAAAAGCCGCAAGGCGCCGAAGGAACAGCCCGCGGCCGAUUAGCUAGUUGGUGAGGUAAUGGCUCACCAAGGCUUCGAUCGGUAGCCGGCCUGAGAGGGCACACGGCCACACUGGCACUGAAACACGGGCCAGACUCCUACGGGAGGCAGCAGUGGGGAAUCUUGCACAAUGGACGAAAGUCUGAUGCAGCGACGCCUCGUGAGUGAUGAAGGUCUUCGGAUCGUAAAGCUCUUUCGACUGGGAAGAUAAUGACGGUACCAGGAGAAGAA